UAGAAGUUUCUCAAAUUUCUAACCCUAAUUUCUCUCCCUCUCAACUCUUCUUUCGACUUCUGAACUCUUCAAUGGCCAAUCGAGCUGUUCUUUACUCUUUUCUGUUUCUCUACAUCUCUCUGAAGGUUUGCUGAAGAUUUCUGUUUGUCUCGGACGACCUGCGCAGGUUCUUCUUCAUGGUUUAAGCGAAAUUUCAAUGGUACCACAUGAAGAAAACUAAGAAGUCUAGAUGGACAACCAUAAAGAUGGGUGUUAAGUAAGAAAUUCUUUGUUAGAAUUUGGAACUCUUUACUCAUGCUUCCUAACUGUUUGAAUGAUUUAUUGUUCUUUCAAUAAUUGCAUAUGCCAGAAAAGUGUGUUCCUCUGCCACUACACUGAACAAAUCACCUCAUCGUCUUUAGUUUACUGUGUAUACUUGCUAAAAUGGUUCAGCAUGUUUGUUGCCAGGAGCAACAAGAUCAAGUAGUUUUCAGUUCUUAUCUUUGGCUUGUGGUAGAGCAAUCUGAUAGCUCGCAAGGCUCAUAACCUUGAGGUCACGGAAACUGCAGUUACUUUUCUAUCCUCAUUUUGUAGUCAUAUUCCUUUGUACAUAACAUGUUUGAUGAAAGUUAUGUUCAAAUUGUUAGAAGAAUGAUCCAUUGAUUCUUAGUAAAUAUAUUAUCAAAUUCUGUAACAUCCUAAUUCAAUGGAUUACAAGUGCCGCUGAAAGAAACAAAAGGAAUAUGACCUCUUUAACUACGAUUUGCAAGAAAGGGAAGUAGUAGUGACAAAAUAUGCAACUUCAGGCAAGAUGCUUAAACUAGGAUCACCGACACAACUUUUUUAGCCAAAUUUAUGUUUACAAAGCUUGCUUUUCAUGUGUGUUCUUCCCACAAUAUCCAUAAUAACCUAUAAUGUAGUCAUAUCCUUAGCUAUUCUUUGUUUCGUAUU